rnacentral:rRNA from 1 species
UACGGAGGGAGCUAGCGUUAUUCGGAAUUACUGGGCGUAAAGCGCACGUAGGCGGCUUACUAAGUCAGGGGUGAAAUCCUGGAGCUCAACUCCAGAACUGCCUUUGAUACUGGUGAGCUUGAGUCCGGAAGAGGUGAGUGGAACUGCGAGUGUAGAGGUGAAAUUCGUAGAUAUUCGCAAGAACACCCGUGGCUAAGGCGGCUCUCUAGUACGGUACUGACGCUGAGACGCGAAAGCGUGGGGAGCGAACAGG